rnacentral:rRNA from 1 species
GAUGAACGCUGGCGGCAUGCCUAACACAUGCAAGUCGAGCGAACACACGAGGGGCUUGCUCCUCUCACGUGAGCAGCGGACGGGUAAUUAACACGUACGUGACCGACCGAGAAGGCUGAGGUAGCGUCGGUUAACCUAAUCUAAUACCGGAUAAUAGAUUGAACGGCAGGGAUCAAUAGUCAAAGACGGAUUGGCUGGCACUAAUACAGAUAUCCUCGCCGCAUUAGCUAGUUGGUAAGGUAAAGGCGUACCAAGGCAACGAUGCGUAGCCGACCUGAGAGGACGACCGGCCACACUGGAACUGAGACACGGCCCAGACUCCUACGGGAGGCAGCAGUGGGGAAUUUUGGACAAUGGGCGCAAGCUUGAUCGAGCCACUCCGCGUGCAGGACGAAGGCCUUCGGGUUGUAAACUGCUGUUGUACGGAACGAAAAGACGCGUACUAAAACCUGCACGUCAUGACGGUACCUAAAGAGUAAGCACCGGCUAACUACGUG